AUAUAUGUAUUUAAUCCUAUAGAUGCAUGGACAAGCAGUAUUUAAUGCUACAGAAGCAGGAACAAGCAGUAUUUUAUCUUACAGAUGCAGGGACAAGCAGUAUUUUAUCUUACAGAUGCAAAGACAAGCAGCACCCAAUUCUAUGGAAGCAGGGACAAGCAGUAUUUAAUCUUACAGAAGCAGGGACAAGCAGUAUUUAAUCUUACAGAUGCAGGGACAAGCAGUAGCCAAUGUUUCAGAUGCAGGGGCAAGCAGCAGCCAACCUUACAGAAGCAGGGACAAGCAGUAAUUAAUCUUACAGAUGCAGGGACAAGCAGUAUUUAAUCCUACAGAUGCAUGGACAAGCAGUAUUUAAUCUUACAGAUGCAUGGACAAGCAAUAGCCAAUGUUUCAGAUGCAGGGGCAAGCAGCAGCCAACCUUACAGAAGCAGGGACAAGCAGUAUUUAAUCCUACAGAUGCAUGGACAAGCAGUAUUUAAUCUUACAGAUGCAUGGACAGGCAAUAACCAAUCUUUCAGAUGCAGGGGCAAGCAGUAGCCAACCUUACAGAAGCAGGGGCAAGCAGUAAUUAAUCUUACAGAUGCAGGGACAAGCAGUAUUUAAUCCUACAGAUGCAGGGACAAGCAGUAUUUAAUCUUACAAAUGCAGAGACAAGCAGUAUUUAAUCUUAUAGAUGCAGGGACAAGCAGUAAUUAAUCUUACAAAUGCAGGGACAAGCAGUAUUUAAUCCUACAGAUGCAGGGACAAGCAUAAUUUAAUCUUACAAAUGCAGAGACAAGUAGUAUUUAAUCUUAUAGAUGCAGGGACAAGCAGUAGCCAACCUUACAGAACCAGGGACAAGCAGUAUUUUAUCUUACAGAUGCAUGGACAAGCAGUAUUUAAUCUUACAGAUGCAGGGACAAGCAGUAACCAAUCUUACAGAUGCAUGGACAAGCAGUAACCAAUCUUACAGAUGCAUGGACAAUCAGUAUUUAAUCCUACAGAUACAGGGACAAGCAGUAGCCAAUCUUUCAGAUGCAGGGGGCAAGCAACAUCCAAUCUUUCAGAUGCAGGGGCAAGCAGUAGCCAAUCUUACAGAAGCAGGGACAAGCAGUAGCCAAUCUUACAGAUGCAUGGACAAUCAGUAUUUAAUCUUACAGAAGUAGGGACAAGAAGUAUUUUAUCUCACAGAAGCAGGGACAAGAAAUAUUUAAUCUUACAGAUGCAGGGACAAGUAUUAUUCAAUCUUACAAAUGCAGGGACAAGCAGUAUUUAGUCUUGCAGAUGCAGGGACAAGCAGUAGCCAACCUUACAGAAGCAGGGGCAAGCAGUAUUUUAUCUUACAGAUGCAGGGACAAGCAGUAUUUAAUCUUACAGAAGCAGGGACAAGCAGUACCAUAAUCCUACAGAAGCCGGGACAAGCAGUACCAUAAUCCUACAAAAGCAGGGACAAGCAGAACUUAAUCCUACAGAAGCAGGGACAAGCAGCACUUAAUCCUACAGAAGUGAUAGCCAAUCCUAAGAUUGAGAUGAGUGUAGAGAGUUAGACUGGAAACCAUGUUUCAGAGCAGACUGUCAUGAUUCAACUAGAGUGCCAGGAGUAAGGAUGAACAGUGGCCUAACCUAGAAGUGAGGAGUAUUAGAUUGUCCUCCAUCACCAGUUUUAAAUUAGCCAGUUAGACAGAAAGAGAGUCCAGACCAGAAGGAUCCACUGCAACAACCAACCAU